rnacentral:siRNA from 1 species
GGUGAGGGACGACGAUUU